ACGCGAAGAACCUUACCAGGUCUUGACAUCUUGCGCCAACCCUAGAGAUAGGGCGUUUCCUUCGGGAACGCAAUGACAGGUGGUGCAUGGUCGUCGUCAGCUCGUGUCGUGAGAUGUUGGGUUAAGUCCCGCAACGAGCGCAACCCUUGUUACUAGUUGCCAGCAUUCAGUUGGGCACUCUAGUGAGACUGCCGGUGACAAACCGGAGGAAGGUGGGGACGACGUCAGAUCAUCAUGCCCCUUAUGACCUGGGCUACACACGUGCUACAAUGGACGGUACAACGAGUCGCGAACUCGCGAGGGCAAGCUAAUCUCUUAAAACCGUUCUCAGUUCGGACUGCAGGCUGCAACUCGCCUGCACGAAGUCGGAAUCGCUAGU
rnacentral:rRNA from 1 species